rnacentral:rRNA from 1 species
GAUGAGCGCUAGCUACAGGCUUAACACAUGCAAGUCGAGGGGUAACGAGAGGGAAGCUUGCUUUCCUUGUCGACGACCGGCGCACGGGUGAGUAACGCGUAUCCAACCUGCCCCCAACUAGGGAAUAACCUUGCGAAAGUAAGACUAAUACCCUAUAAUUUCCUCAGAUGUCAUCUGACGAGGAAUAAAGAUUUAUCGGUUGUGGAUGGGGAUGCGUCUGAUUAGCUUGUUGGCGGGGUAACGGCCCACCAAGGCAACGAUCAGUAGGGGUUCGGAGAGGAAGGUACCCCACAUUGGAACUGAGACACGGUCCAAACUCCUACGGGAGGCAGCAGUGAGGAAUAUUGGUCAAUGGGCGGAAGCCUGAACCAGCCAAGUAGCGUGCAGGAUGACGGCCCUAUGGGUUGUAAACUGCUUUUAUACAGGAAUAAAGUUAGCCACGUGUGGUUAUUUGUAGGUACUGUAUGAAUAAGGACCGGCUAAUUCCGUGCCAGCCGCCGCCGUAA